rnacentral:rRNA from 1 species
UACAGAGGUCUCAAGCGUUGUUCGGAAUUACUGGGCGUAAAGGGCUCGUAGGCGGCCAACUAAGUCCGACGUGAAAUCCCCAGGCUUAACCUGGGAACUGCGUCGGAUACUGGAUGGCUUGAAUCCGGGAGAGGGAUGCGGAAUUCCUGGUGUAGCGGUGAAAUGCGCAGAUAUCAGGAGGAACACCCGUGGCGAAAGCGGCUCUCUGGGACGGUACUGACGCUGAGACGCGAAAGCGUGGGGAGCAAACAGG